ACCUCCGUCGUCACAAUAGUCUAGCUUUUGAGGUAUGUUUCUUAGGUAUCGUGACGACAGAAGUGCAAAUGCAAAGCCUAGCGUUUCUGGUCGGUUUCAAAAUGUCAACUCCCUAGAACCCAAGAGAAAAUCCAAGUAGCACCAACAUAUGACAAAGGAGUUGAAAAGCAGCCGGAACCGCCAUCCUCUCAAUUCCUAAAUGCUGACCCAAAAGAAACGCCAUGAUGAGCCCAAGUAGAGCACUCAGCACAGUCAAGGGUAGGCACCUACUUCAAUGUAAAAUGUUACUUUUAGGUAAAAGAAAGAACUACAGGCCCAAAGGAGCAGAGUGGGGUGGGGGGAGAAGGGUGGGAAGAGCGACUCAAUAUUUCUUCCUGCCUUUCAACUGUGAACUGAGCUCCUGGAAGGAAGGGAAGGUAUUGCAUUUGGUUUACACCUUCCUCAUGCAGACUUCCCCCUCCCAGGCCUCCCUGAGAAAUUUACCUUUGCUAGCUAGUGGGAAGGUUGCCGGAAGAAGAGAAGGGGGAUAAGAAUGAGUGCUGAGCUCAAGGAAGAGAAGGAAGGGUUCUCUACUUUUCUCUUCCCAAAGUUAGCAUUUCUCCACCUCCCCUCGAACUAGCCUGUGGGAUGACUGGUUUAGAACUCAGAGACCGAGCACGUGAGAGUCCGGCCUUUCCUGCACUAAGUACGUUUCCGUCACCGGCGAGGGAAGUGAGAGCAGAGCUCGGCUCCCACUUCUCGCCGAAGGGAAGGAAACGGCAAUUGGAAACUAUUCGGUCCAGAUUCAUCGCCAAAGAGGAGGUCCCGGGAGAUAGCACCACAAGGAAAAGAAAGCCAACGGGCAGGGAGGCCCCCUCAUUUUUGUUUGACACCAUUCCCCUUGGGAUUCUGCCACCGGGUCGGUGAGCCCAAAGGAGAAGCAACAUCAGGAAGAGUAAGUCACAUAUGCCAUUUGUGGGAAUCCCCUUGGUCGUACUGGAAACGCCUUCCAAAGCCAUCCCAGCAGCCGCCCCCCACACCUGGGAUGUGUAAAGGUCAAACAGAAGGUCACAUUUUCAAA